rnacentral:rRNA from 1 species
CAGCAGCCGCGGUAAUACGAAGGGGGCUAGCGUUGUUCGGAAUUACUGGGCGUAAAGCGCGCGCAGGCGGUCUUCCAAGUCAGUGGUGAAAGCCCGGAGCUCAACUCCGGAACUGCCAUUGAAACUGUGAGACUUGAGUACGAGAGAGGCGAGUGGAAUUCCCAGUGUAGAGGUGAAAUUCGUAGAUAUUGGGAAGAACACCGGUGGCGAAGGCGGCAACCUGGUCCAUGACUGACGCUGAGGCGCGAAAGCGUGGGGAGCAAACAGGAUUAGAUACCCGAGUAGUCCCUGUCUCUUAUAA